CUUCCCCAGAAUCACCUGUAGGCCAAAAAGGCAGUGGUGAGAUGCUUGCCCUGUGCCCUGGAGGCUUUGGAAUCACCAUGGAAACAAACCCUCUGAGCAUGUCUGUGGAGUGGUCUCUAGAUUGGGCUAAUUGAGGAAGGAAGACACACAUUGAAUGUGAGGUCUGCCAUCACACAGCCUGGGGUCCUGGACAGAAUGGAUAAAGAGAAAGUGAGCUGAGCAAAGACAUCCAUCUCUCCCUGCUUCCUGAUGCAUCAAUGUAACUCCACCUCCAUCCUUCUCCACCAUAGAUGUAUCUUCACACACUGAGCCUAAAGAGCGCCUCUUUAAGUCAUUUUUUGUCAUACCUGUCAUAGCAACAACACAGAACUCUAGUAUCUAGGUGAAGAAAUGUAUGAUCCAACAGGGUGUCACUGUCCCAUGCAGCAGGUGCAUAUGAUGGACCACCCAGGAGGAGGAAGGUGGGGGUACCAGCAGGCCCAUAGCCAGUGCUGUAGUUCAUGGCGUCUGUCCAGAACUGAGGUGUGUCCUUCCAAACUCAGAUGGUGCAGUUCUAACCAUGAUGUGAUUGUGUGGAGAUGACACUCAUGAGGGGUAACUAAGG